UCUGCCUUUUUACACACCGCCCGUCGCUACUACCGAUUGAAUGGCUUAGUGAGGUCUCCGGAUUGGCGGUGGGGAGCCGGCAACGGCACCCUGUUGCUGAGAAGCUGAUCAAACUUGGUCAUUUAGAGGAAGUAAAAGUCGUAACAAGGUUUCCGUAGGUGAACCUGCGGAAGGAUCAUUAACGAAUAUCUAUGGCGUUGGUUGUAGCUGGCUCCUAGGAGCAAUGUGCACGCCCGUCAUUCAUAUCAUCUUUCCACCUGUGAACCAUGUGUAGGCCUGGAUACCCCUCGCUUUGGCAACAAAGCGGAUGCAAGGAUUGCUGCGUCGACAAGGCCGGCUCUCUUUGAAUUUCCAGGUUCUAUGUCUUUUUUACACACCCCAUUUGAAUGACUUAGAAUGUAGUCAAUGGGCUUUCAUGCCUAUAAAAAACUAUACAACUUUCAGCAACGGAUCUCUUGGCUCUCGCAUCGAUGAAGAACGCAGCGAAAUGCGAUAAGUAAUGUGAAUUGCAGAAUUCAGUGAAUCAUCGAAUCUUUGAACGCACCUUGCGCUCCUUGGUAUUCCGAGGAGCAUGCCUGUUUGAGUGUCAUUAAAUUCUCAACCUCACCAGUUUUGUAACGAGACAGGUGAAGGCUUGGAUGUGGGGGUUUUGCAGGCUGCCUCAGUGCUGGUCUGCUCUCCUGAAAUGCAUUAGCGAGCUCAUAUUGAGCUUCCGUCUAUUGGUGUGAUAAUUAUCUACGCCGUGGAUUGGACUCAUGCUUGCUUCUAACCGUCCGCAAGGACAAUUUACUUGACCAAUUUGACCUCAAAUCAGGUAGGACUACCCGCUGAACUUAAGCAUAUCAAUAAGCGGAGGAAAAGAAACUAACAAGGAUUCCCCUAGUAACUGCGAGUGAAGCGGGAAAAGCUCAAAUUUAAAAUCUGGUGGUCUCUGGCCAUCCGAGUUGUAAUCUAGAGAAGUGUUACCCGCGUCGGACCGUGUAUAAGUCUCCUGGAAUGGAGCGUCAUAGAGGGUGAGAAUCCCGUCUUUGACACGGACUACCGAGGCUUUGUGGUAUGC
rnacentral:rRNA from 1 species